CAGGGAGUAACCAUUUACCACUCAGAAGCAAAGUAAAUACAGCUAUGUGCAAACAGCAUAAAACCAGAACAGCCUGCGAGUAACUCGCAGUCUCUUCAGAUUAACUGCUGUUUGCUGCUCAUCAGUAUCUAAGGGUUGGAAAUGAAGCCUUUAAAACUUGAAUCUAGUAAGAAAGGUCUUUAAUUAAAUUUAACUUUCAAUGGGACUACAAAUGCGUGAAAAUACGUUUCUAAGUGGUAAAGAGUUCAGCAAUUGAGCCUUUCUGGUUAUGAGAGUUAUCUCUUAUACCAGGUUUGUUAUGAUUAUAUUUAUAUGAGCAUUGUCCUUUAUCUCUUAUACCAGGUUUGUUAUGAUUAUGUUUAUAUGAACAUUGUCCUUUAUCUCUUAUACCAGGUUUGUUAUGAUUAUGUUUAUAUGAGCAUUGUCCUUUAUCUCUUAUACCAGGUUUGUUAUGAUUAUGUUUAUAUGAGCAUUGUCCUUUAUCCCUUAUACCAGGUUUGUUAUGAUUAUGUUUAUAUGAGCAUUGUCCUUUAUCUCUUAUACCAGGUUUCUUAUGAUUAUGUUUAUAUGAGCAUUGUCCUUUAUCUCUUAUACCAGGCUUGUUAUGAUUAUGUUUAUAUGAGCAUUGUCCUUUAUCUCUUAUACCAGGUUUCUUAUGCUUA